rnacentral:lncRNA from 1 species
GCGGGGGCGGGGGCGCCCUCGGGGAGAGCGCGGGCCUGGUGCUUCGGCGGCCCCGGGCUUGCGGCGGGGUCGCCGGGGGGACGCCCCUCAGGCCUGCUCUUAGGAGCCGAAGUCCGGCCGGGGCGCCGUACGCGGGCAGGGCCCGGAGCUGGGCCUUCGGCUUCGUGAAAGCCCCAGCCCCACCCAAGUGGAGAAAUGCACACCAGGAGGACAGGGACCAGGCUGUGUGCCCAGGGUCCAGCAACCCAGCAAUCCCAGCGCAUCUAUCUGCCCACUUACUGUUUCAGAGCAGGAGAAAAGGAAUGUCUCCUGGAAAUGACUUUUUGAGAUGAAAUUGUUUGACCACCUCUGGAAGCAGUAUCAGGAGCAACAGAAAUCCACAUUUGUUCAGUGGGUUAGAGGACAUGGAGUGGAAGACUUUGAGGAGGAGAUUCUGUGCUAGACUGGUCUUGCUUAGAAGACAUUUCCAGAUUAGAUCCAUUGUUUUGUAUGUGCAUUUUAUUUCUCACUGCUGUAUAUAUAGUUGACAAUAAGUACUUUUUAGAAAUAUCUAGGCUUUGUACAGAGUUCGCGUCGUGGCUCAGUGGUUAACGAAUAUGAUUAGAAACCCUGAGUUUGCGGGUUCGAUCCCUGGCCUUGCUCAGUGGGUUACAGAUCCAGCGUUGCCGUGAGCUGUGGUGUAGAUUGAAGACGCGGCUCGGAUCCCACGUUGCUGUGACUCUAGUGUGGGUUGGCGGCUAUAGCUCCGAUUCGACCCCUAGCCUGGGAACCUCCAUAUGCUUCCGGGGGAUCAGCCCUAGAAAAGGCAAAAAGACCAAAAAAAAAAAACAAAACUAGGCUUUGUAGAUAUUCUGAAGCGCCUGAUAUAUGUUAAAAGUAGAGGUAGUAAAAAGACAUUUUAUAAAUAUCUUUUUGUUAAAAUGCAUAUGAAAUAUUGUUUAUUUGGGGGGAGGGAGGGAUGGCCAAACCACCUCUUUGAACAGGGCAUUGUGUUUUGUGCACUGGUUCAAGGUCAGGGGAGGAGAAGGAAGUGCAAAGAGCUCUAUGCCAGUGUUUACAGUGAGGCAAGAUUAACCAUUGUCCUUUUUAUGUGCAUUUUGUUUCACUUUGCUGUGUAGGUAGUGUAUAUAAAUGGACAAAUGAGUCCUCAUUUAUAACAUCUGGCUUUUCUAGAUGUUAAAGAGGUUUUGCCAGUGUAUGACAGAAAUAGAGUUAGUAAAUGAAUACAUUUUGUGUUAAAAUUUCUGGGAAAGAUUGUCUCCUGAAAAUUGGAGCAUUAUAGCCCUCUGGGUUGCUGGAGGGGAAGGAAGAGGGAAAGGGAUGGGUGGUCUUAGGCUGGAAUGCUCAUAUUUCAAAGACACUUUCAGAUUAUAACUGUUACAUGUUGCAGUUUAUUCAAGACUUCUCUGUAUACAGUGGACAAAUUAAGUCCUUAUUUGAAACAUCUAGUCCCCCAGAUGUUUAGAGGUGCCCUACGUAUGUUAAAAUGUAGAGGUGGUAAAAUAGCACUUUGUAAAUAUCUUUUUGCUGAAAUUCAUAGGAAAUACCGUCUUUUGGAAAUACUCACUACUACCUCUCUGAGUAGUAAUUUUGAGGAGGUGGGAGGGAAAGAAUUGCAAAAGUAAUAUGCUAGUGUGUUUGUACCUGUACAUUUUCAGACAAAACUAUUUUUUGUAUGUUAGGUGCAUUUUGCUUUGCUGUGUAUAUAGUGUAUAUAAUGGACAAAUGAGUCCUAAUUUUGCAACAUCUAGUCUCUAGAUGUUAAAGAGGUUGCUGGUGUAAAACAAAGGAGUAAAUUCACACAUUUUGUACAUUUUGUGUUAAAAUGCAUUGGAAAGUUUGUCUUCUGUAAAUGAUUUUUGGAUAUGAAUUUGUUCAAUCACCCUCAAGCAUUGCGCAUGCCUGUAUUUGUGCACUGAAUUGAUGGUGGAGAGAAGGAAGUGAGGGAGGGAAUGCUUCAGGCCAAAAUGGUCAUAUUUAGAAGAUACCUCAGAUUAUAACCAUUGUUACAUGUGUGCAAUUUUAUUGAACAGUGCUGUGUACAUAGUGGACAAGUAAGUUCUUAUAUGAAAUAUCUAGUCUUUCUGGGUAUUUAGAAGUGCUUGAUGUAUUUAAAAGUAGUAGUAGUAAAAUAAUGCUUCUUGUAAAUAGCUUUUUAAAACGUGGGAAAUACUGUCUUGGGAAAUGGAAUUGUUAAACCUCCUUUCUGACCCUAUACUCUACUUGUUCCUUGGGCUGAAGGAAGUGGGAGGGAAGAUUGCAAAAGAUGUUUUGCUAGUGUGUACUAAAAAAUUUCAACUUAUCAGUUGUUCUGUGUUACAUGCAUUUUGUAUAUGCUGGACAAAUGGGCCCAAUUUUAUAAUACAUAGUCUCUAGAUGUUAAAAAGAGGUUGCUAAUAUAUGACUAAAGUAGAGUUAGUAAACUAACAUGUUUUGUACGCUUGCGUAAAAUUUCAUUGAAAGGCUGUUUUCUGAAAAGGACCUUUGAAAAUGAAAUUGUAAAUCACAUCUAAGUGACACAUGUGCCUGCACCCACCGUUGGAUGGACUGUGGGAAGGAGGAGUUAGGAGAAAUGAAGGGUUCUAAACUCGAGUGUUCCUGUGUAGAAGACACUUUCAGAUAUAACCAUUGCUAACAUGUGGUUUAUUCAACACUACUGUGUAUAUAUAGUGGACAAACUUAAGUCCUUAUUUGAAACAUCUUGUCUUUCUAGAUGUUUAGAAGUACACAAAGCAUGUUAAAAGUAGAGGUAGUAAAAUAACAUUUUGUAGAUAGCCUUUUGUUAACAUUCAUGAAGUACUGCCCUUCAGAAAUGGAAUAAUCAAACCACCUCUCUGAGCAGUGCACAUUUGUGCUGGUUCAAGGAGGAAGAAGAGAGUACAAGGGCUUUAUUCCAAUAAAUAUGUUUAUAGUUAGGCAAGUUUAACCAUUGCCCUGUAUGUCUGUGCAUUCUGUUUUACUUAGGUAUAUAUAUAGUGUACAUAAAGGAUAAACGCCCAAAUUUACAUCUCAUCUUCCUAGAUGUUAAAGAGGUUGCCAAUGUAUGACAAAAGUAGUGAGAAAAUAAAUACAUUGUGUAUACUUUGUGUUAAAAUUCUUAAGAUUGUUUUGAAAACGACUGGAGGAGGUGAAAUUGUUAAAGUCCCUUCUAAGUGCUUAUUACACCUGUCCACUAGGUUGACAGAGAUAAGAAGGGGAAGGGUUCUAGGCCAAUGUUCCUGUUUAGAAGACACUUUGAGAUUAUGGCCUUUGUGUGCAAUUUGUUCAAUACCACAUGUAUGUAAACUUAAAUCCUUAUUUGAAACAUCUAGUCUUUCUGGAUGUUUAAAAGUGUACAACAUAUGUUAAAAGUAGAUAAAGUAACACCUUUUAAGUAUUUUUUCUGUGAAUUCAUAGGAAUGGUCACAUGUGAGGAAUGGGAUUGUUAAACUUGAGCCUUGGAGACUAUGCUGACUGAUCACUGGGGUGGUGGGGGUUGGAGGGACAGGGAAGGAAGUGCAGAGAAGGGUUCAGUGCUCUAAAGACAGGUUCAGACUGUCUAGCCAUUGUUCUGUUUGUGCAUUUUAGUUAAUAUUGCUGUGUAUUAAGGAAUAAACAAGUCCUACUGUUCAAAGUAAAAAAAAAAAAUAAAGAAAUGUAGAGCCA